UCAAGUUAUUAAGGGUGCAGGGCGAAUGCCUUGGCACUAGGAGCCGAUGAAGGACGUGAUAAGCUGCGAUAAGCUUCGGGGAGUUGCACGUAAACUUUGAUCCGAAGAUUUCCGAAUGAGGAAACUCACUUAGAGUAAUGUCUAAGUAUCGUUAAGUGAAUACAUAGCUUAGCGAGGGGAACCCGGGGAACUGAAACAUCUAAGUACCCGGAGGAAGAGAAAGAAAUUCGAUUCCGUAAGUAGCGGCGAGCGAACGCGGAACAGGCCAAACCAAUGAAGUUUACUUCGUUGGGGUUGCGGACAUAUCAUAAUGAAGAGGUAUCGUAGAAGAAGAGAGUUGGAAAGCUCCGCCACAGAUGGUAACAGCCCAGUAUUUUAAACGAGAAGACUUUAGAUAUGAUCCAGAGUACCACGGGACACGUGAAACCCUGUGGGAAGCAGGAGGGACCAUCCUCCAAGCCUAAAUACUACCUAGUGACCGAUAGCGUAUAGUACCGUGAGGGAAAGGUGAAAAGAACCCCGGGAGGGGAGUGAAAGAGAACCUGAAACCCUGCACUUACAAGCUGUAGGAGCACAUUAUUUGUGUGACUGCGUACUUUUUGUAGAACGGGCCAACGAGUUACGUUGUGUAGCAAGGUUAAGCACUUAAGGUGUGGAGCCGUAGCGAAAGCGAGUCUUAAAUGGGCGUCCAGUUACCCGACGUAGACCCGAAACCAGGCGACCUAUCCAUGAGCAGGUUGAAGCGAAAGUAAAAUUUCGUGGAGGACCGAACCCACGUACGUUGAAAAGUGCGGGGAUGACUUGUGGAUAGCGGUGAAAUUCCAAUCGAGCCUGGAGAUAGCUGGUUCUCCCCGAAAUAGCUUUAGGGCUAGCCUCAAGCUUAGAGAAACGGAGGUAGAGCACUGAAUGUCCUAGGGGGUAUUGCACUUACCGAAGACUAUCAAACUCCGAAUGCCGUUUUCUUUUACUUGGGAGUCAGACUGUGGGUGAUAAGAUUCAUAGUCAAAAGGGCAACAGCCCAGAUCGUCAGCUAAGGUCCCUAAAUGUACGUUAAGUGGUAAAGGAUGUGGGAUUGCACAGACAACCAGGAUGUUGGCUUAGAAGCAGCCACUCAUUUAAAGAGUGCGUAAUAGCUCACUGGUCGAGUGAUCCUGCGCCGAAAAUUUCCGGGGCUAAAACGUACUACCGAAGCUACGGCAUCAUUUAUGAUGGGUAGGGGAGCUUCGUAUGCAGGCUGAAGCAUGACCGUAAGGACAUGUGGACAGUAUACGAGUGAGAAUGUUGGCAUGAGUAGCGAGACGUGGGUGAGAAUCCCACGGGCCGUAAACCCAAGGUUUCCAGGGGAAGGUUCGUCCGCCCUGGGUUAGUCGGGACCUAAGCCGAGGCCGAAAGGCGUAGGUGAUGGACAACAGGUUGAUAUUCCUGUACCACCAAUAACCGUUUGAGAAAUGGGAUGACACAGUAGGAUAAGCUAACCGCACUGUUGGUUAUGUGCGGGCAAGUAUUGAGGCAGUUCCGAUAGGCAAAUCCGUCGGAAUAAUGCUGGGGUACGAUGCGGAGCGAAAUUUAGUAGCGAAGUAGCUGAUUUCACACUGUCGAGAAAAGUCUCUAUCGAGGUUAAAGGUGCCUGUACCGCAAACCGACACAGGUGGGUGAGGAGAGUAUCCUAAGGCCAGCGAGAGAACUGUUGUUAAGGAACUCGGCAAAAUGACCCCGUAACUUAGGGAGAAGGGGUGCCUUCGAAAGAAGGCCGCAGAGAAUAGGCCCAAGCGACUGUUUACCAAAAACAUAGGUUUCUGCUAAGUCGCAAGACGAUGUAUAGGAGCUGACGCCUGCCCGGUGCUGGAAGGUUAAGGGGAUCUGUUAGAGCAAUCGAAGCAGUGAACUUAAGCCCCAGUAAACGGCGGCCGUAACUAUAACGGUCCUAAGGUAGCGAAAUUCCUUGUCGGGUAAGUUCC
rnacentral:rRNA from 1 species